rnacentral:rRNA from 1 species
GGUGAAGUUUUCGGAUCGCGGCGACGCCGGCGGUUCGCCGCCGGUGCUGUUGUGAGAAGUUCAUUAAACCUUAUCAUUUAGAGGAAGGAGAAGUCGUAACAAGGUUUCCGUAGGUGAACCUGCGGAAGGAUCAUUG